AACAUCAUAGGGUGAGUACACAUUAACAAUAAUGCAUGGAAAAUUAUGAGAAACCCAUAUUCUUUGUAGAAGUAUAUAUUUGCUUCGGAUGACCAUUGCUUCCAUUACAAAGGAAGCUUUGUCCCACAUAAUUAUCACGCCACUUAAUCUACCAACAGUCGUAGAGUAUAGCCAUUCUAAGUUAUUUGAUAACCAUAAUCUCCCAAUUAUCUUGUCCACAUUUUCAGAUAGUUUUGUCUCUUGUAACAAAACCAUUUCUAGUUUAUGUGUUGAGAUAAACUUCUGUAGCAUACUUUGUCAUGACCCGGUACUCUCCUCGAUCCCGUGACAACCGUCGCGAUGUCCCGAUAGACAUUAAUUACCCGGAAUACCAAUCGAAACCUCGCAAGGCUUUAAUAUCAGUUUUCUCACCUCCCCUGCGAGCAACAGUUGCUAAUAUCAUAUUUUAAAAGAUUAUAAGCUAUUUUCAAACUAAAAUGAUAAAAAAAUAAUAUUUCUGUCACAAGAGUAUUUUGGUCAUUUUUCCUCGAAAAUUUCGAAACCAUCUAAAAAUGUAUUAUAUGAAUGAAAGAUAUAUAUUUCAUAACCAAAAAUAAGUUUAGAUAUUUAAAACAUUCAUUUAAAGUGAAAUGAUAGCUAUUAGAAUAAAAUAAAAAUAUUAAAAAAAAUAUUCUAUUUUCUUAUGAAACAAUAUUUAUAGAGAUAUCCGUAAAUAAUUUUUGUAACGUAAAAGCAAAAUAAAUUCGUACACACAGUAACACAGUGAACCAGAGUGUGUAAUUUAAUUUACAAUGACAUGUGAGCCCCCCCCGAAUGACCAAAAGUAACGAAGGCUGCGAACCUACGAUUUUGAGGAUGCAAAUCUAACUAUAGCCCUCGACGAAAUCAGCUAUCUACAGAGUAACCUGAGCCUGGAAUGAGUGGAAAGGAGGGGUGAGUUUUGAUAAACCUAAUGAGUAAAUAAACAUCAUCUAAAAUAUCUAAAGCUGAGUAAAUGGAGAUAACUUAAAAUAGUUCAUCAUACUAUGAUUCAUAACGUUUCAAACUCAUUUCAACUAAACAAAAUAAAUUCAUUUCACUCAAAUAAUCAACAUGGCUUAUGAACUUCUUAAAAAUUUGGCUCAUGCCAAAACUUAUUCUCGGGGAUACCUUGGUCGAGGCAUCUAACCGAGUCCGCCAAGGUUGUUAAAGAAAAGUUCAUAUACGCAUUAAACACAUUUUUUUCGUUUAAAAGCAUAGCCGUUCCUUGACAUUGGCUGAGUUCACUCUCGCGUGGUGGUUUAGCGUGUAGUGAACUCUAAAGCUUUACCUCAAGAGUUACCCUCCGUGCCUCUUGUACCGAGGUAAAAUAUAAUGGAGUUUACCGUGCCCCUCUAAUAGGCUGGUCCACAGAAACCCGUCCACUGCAGUAAGCUAAUCGAUAUCCCACCAAAUCAAUAAAAGUUUCGACAACAUGACAUGACAAUUAUAUUACUACCCAGCCUGUUAAGGCAAAACAAACAGUUCAUACAAUUUCAACACUAUUUUCAAUUCAGCCAUUCAUGCCAAUAUCACCAUAAACCAUUCAAUUCAAAUCAUAAAUUUACAACACAAACAAACAGUCUCCAAUUACUCAAUUUCUAAAAUCAUUAUUCAAUUUCAAAAUGAUUUAUAAAACUCAUUUCAUUUAAUCAUAUUUUACUUAUAAAAUAUAAGGAUUUACCAUUUAAACUCAUUUUUCUAUAAAAUCACAAAAAAGAAUAAAAACUACUUUAGAUAAUUAAGACGAUAAUAAGGUUACUUACGAUAUCGGGAGUCGAAGUACUCCUAGUCUCGAUUUUCAGGUAUAAUCUCCUUACCCUUAUUAGAAGACUCACCACUUAUACACAAUACACGAUAAAUAAUUCAAUAUAUUGUGUCAUGUCAUUAUAAAUCUAUUUUAGGCUCUAUAUGAAUGCAUGAGGUUGCUUGGAUAGUCAUUUAAAGAUGGUGUUACACGUUGGUUCAAUUGUGAUCGGAAUGGAUCGGUUUUCGACCUAAUUCAAACUCUCCACCUUUGAUUUAACCAAAACAUCCAAAUUGACUCCAAUUAUAUUCAUCACACUUAUAAUGUCCCAAAAUACACCAAAGCGCCUCAAUGAGCUUGACUUUCUCAUUGUUAUUCAACUUAUUUACUAAAAGAACUAUACUUUAAAAUUACCAUUUUCGAUUUUCAUCACCACCAUUCAUUAAAUUCUAACUAAAUAACACAAGAAUCAUCAUCACUAGGUUCCUUAUGAAAUUCGGCCAUGGUGGGUGCAUAAACACUAUGAUUUUUCAUACUUUAUUUUUUUUAUACCAUAAAUCAUUAGUUUCUAACCAAAUCACUUGAAAUAAAAUCAAAUCCACCAUCAACAUACCAUAAGGAAGAUUCGGCCAAUGAGGGUGAUGGAAGAACAUGAAUUUUUUCUUGUUUGCUUUUCAUGCUACACAUCACCAACCAACUAAAAACACUAGAAUAACAUGUUUUCCAACUAAAUUCAUCAUCAAAUCUUCUCCCCCUAGGUUAGGCCAACAAGGGAUCCAUCAUGAAAUCAUGAAUUUCAACCAUGGAAAAUGAGAAAGAAUGCUUAAGGAAGAUAGAUCUCAAGCUAAAAUUGAAAAAUCUUACCUUUUGUCACUUGAUUCCUUAAAAUUCCAAAAUUUUCUCUCGAAUUUUCUAACUAGGGUCUUGUUCUUUCUUUCUUUCCUCUUUUCCUUGGUGAGGCCG
rnacentral:lncRNA from 1 species